UACGAAGGGGGCUAGCGUUGCUCGGAAUCACUGGGCGUAAAGGGUGCGUAGGCGGGUCUUUAAGUCAGGGGUGAAAUCCUGGAGCUCAACUCCAGAACUGCCUUUGAUACUGAAGAUCUUGAGUUCGGGAGAGGUGAGUGGAACUGCGAGUGUAGAGGUGAAAUUCGUAGAUAUUCGCAAGAACACCAGUGGCGAAGGCGGCUCACUGGCCAGUAACUGACGCUCUGGCGCGAAAGCGUGGGUAUCAAACAGG
rnacentral:rRNA from 1 species